AAAUGUGUGCGCUGAGCCGAGGCCUCUAAGCGGUAGGAGAGAAUCUGACCUCCGACAUUCUUUUCAAGACACGCGCCGGUGGACCGGGUCCUGGGAUUGGCUUACUCCCGGGCUGGACCUUGGGAGCCUCCCAGAGCUGUCGAAAUCUCCGCGGGGUGAAAGCUAAACUUUUGGAGUCGCUGUGUAGCCGGGUAGAGGACACGGCGGCGCGAGCCGGAAAGAUAAGUGUCCAGGCGAAUGGGAAAGGAAAGAUCUUAAUUUUUGUUCCUACUGUUAGCUGAAUGUCCAUAAAAAUCAAAGGGAAUGCGGGGAAGUUUUUAUUCCAGAGCGUUUCCAUGACACCCGCAGAGAUUUAAAAAAUUACAUUCCUCCCCCUACGCAGGUUUAAUUCGGAAAGAAGAGACUGCAGAGGAGAGGGAAGACCGUGAGUCUGCUUUCACCUAGGUUUAAAGCGAAUCAAAGACGGCUGUAAAAAGGGAAACCGGGACCAAAAACAGAUUUGGAGCCUCGAAACUCUCCAUUGAAGGUUUGGAAGAUACGUUGCUGCAGACUUGAAACCGGCUCCAAAUCCGGCCCAAACAUGGGCUGAAAAUAUGGCGCGCUAAUCUGCUGCUUCCCCUCCUCCUCAAGUUCUUUCUGACUCUUCCCACCUUUCCCAGUUUCCCUUCCAGACGUCUGCGGCUCCCCACUCCACCCCCAGGAUAGCUACUCUACAUCCCGACAAUUCCCAGCUUCUACACCCAGGAGGAGGAAUUCUGGAACCACCCAGAGCGAACUCGUGCCGGGGCGGGGUGGGGACCGGAGGAAGGUCCUGCUCCGAAUUCUCUCCAGAGCAGAAAAGAAUUCUAGAGGCUACAUGUGGGCUGCUUUCCCCCCUUCUUCCUUUUUUCCCUCGCAAACCAACAACCAAAAAGUGUUUGGUGAUGGAAAGAACACCAGUGGAAAACGGCAAAUAACAGUAUUUCCAACUCCGAGUCAGGUCCUCUUUGCACUGCUUUUUCCUGUUUCAUUGCAAUUUAUUGAUUUUAUUGUGGUUUUUUGUUUAUUUGGGGCAAGAACGGAGAUGUGAACCAGGACGAGCCAGCAGACCCCCGAGCCAGUAUCUCCUCCCUGGGCAGGGAACACCGCCUGCACCGGUGCAUACUAGGAGACCCUGGCGGAGAAUGUAAACAAACCGGGCGCCGAGCCCUUGAUCUUUAUUUAAAUAGAGGCUUGUUUAUCGGUGUCAUCCUAGGAGGAUUAAUUAGAUACAUCUCUUCACAAUUUGGUGUCUGACACUCCAUCUUAGGAAUGCCUUAUCAUAAGGUGUUAAUUGGGGCCACUCAGCCACUUACGUUUCUAUUAAACACUGUGAGGGACUUUUCACAA